rnacentral:rRNA from 1 species
AAUAGAUACCCAGGUAGUCCACGCCGUAAACGAUGAGUGCUAAGUGUUAGAGGGUUUCCGCCCUUUAGUGCUGCAGCUAACGCAUUAAGCACUCCGCCUGGGGAGUACGGCCGCAAGGCUGAAACUCAAAGGAAUUGACGGGGGCCCGCACAAGCGGUGGAGCAUGUGGUUUAAUUCGAAGCAACGCGAAGAACCUUACCAGGUCUUGACAUCCUCUGCCAACCCUAGAGAUAGGGCGUUCCCCUUCGGGGGACAGAGUGACAGGUGGUGCAUGGUUGUCGUCAGCUCGUGUCGUGAGAUGUUGGGUUAAGUCCCGCAACGAGCGCAACCCUUGAUCUUAGUUGCCAGCAUUCAGUUGGGCACUCUAAGGUGACUGCCGGUGACAAACCGGAGGAAGUGGGGAUGACGUCAAAUCAUCAUGCCCCUUAUGACCUGGGCUACACACGUGCUACAAUGGAUGGUACAAAGAGCAGCGAACCCGCGAGGGUAAGCCAAUCUCAUAAAGCCAUUCUCAGUUCGGAUUGU